GUAGGUGGCAAGCGUUAUCCGGAAAUACUGGGUGUAAAGGGAGCGCAGGCGGGAUAGCAAGUCAGCUGUGAAAACUAUGGGCUCAACCCAUAAACUGCAGUUGAAACUGUUAUUCUUGAGUGGAGUAGAGGCAAGCGGAAUUCCGAGUGUAGCGGUGAAAUGCGUAGAUAUUCGGAGGAACACCAGUGGCGAAGGCGGCUUGCUGGGCUCUAACUGACGCUGAGGCUCGAAAGUGUGGGGAGCAAACAGGAUUAGAUACCCUGGUAGUCCACACUGUAAACGAUGAUUGCUAGGUGUGGGGGGUCUGACCCCCUCCGUGCCGGAGUUAACGCAAUAAGCAAUCCACCUGGGGAGU
rnacentral:rRNA from 1 species